rnacentral:tRNA from 1 species
GGGUCGUUAGCUCAGUUGGUAGAGCAGUUGACUUUUAAUCAAUUGGUCGCAGG